UCCUCGAUAGCUCAGUCGGCAGAGCGCAUGACUGUUAAUCAUGAUGUCACUGGUUCGAGCCCAGUUCGGGGAGCCA
rnacentral:tRNA from 1 species